rnacentral:rRNA from 1 species
CCUACGGGAGGCUGCAGUGGGGGAUAUUGCACAAUGGGGGAAACCCUGAUGCAGCGACGCCGCGUGGGUGAAGAAGCGCCUCGGCGCGUAAAGCCCUGUCAGCAGGGAAGAAAAUGACGGUACCUGAAGAAGAAGCCCCGGCUAACUACGUGCCAGCAGCCGCGGUAAUACGUAGGGGGCAAGCGUUAUCCGGAUUUACUGGGUGUAAAGGGGGCGCAGACGGGGAUGCAAGCCAGGAGUGAAAGCCCGGGGCCCAACCCCGGGACUGCUCUUGGAACUGCGUGGCUAGAGUGCAGGAGAGGCAGGCGGAAUGCGUGGUGUAGCGGUGAAAUGCGUAGAUAGCAGGAGGAACACCGGUGGCGAAGGCGGCCUGCUGGACUGCAACUGACGUUGAGGCCCGAAAGCGUGGGGAGCAAACAGGAUUAGAUACCCUAGUAGUC